GACAGAGGGUGCAAUCGUUGUUCGGAAUUACUGGGCGUAAAGCGUGUGUAGGCGGCUAUGUAAGUCGGAUGUGAAAGCCCCGGGCUCAACUCGGGAAGUGCACUCGAUACUGCGUAGCUAGAGUACCGGAGAGGUUGGUGGAAUUCUCGGUGUAGAGGUGAAAUUCGUAGAUAUCGAGAGGAACACCGGUGGCGAAGGCGGCCAACUGGACGAGUACUGACGCUGAGACACGAAAGCGUGGGGAGCAAACAGG
rnacentral:rRNA from 1 species